rnacentral:rRNA from 1 species
UUGUGCCAGCAGCCGCGGUAAUACGAAGGGGGCUAGCGUUGCUCGGAAUCACUGGGCGUAAAGGGCGCGUAGGCGGCCAUUUAAGUCGGGGGUGAAAGCCUGUGGCUCAACCACAGAAUUGCCUUCGAUACUGGGUGGCUUGAGUCCGGAAGAGGUUGGUGGAACUGCGAGUGUAGAGGUGAAAUUCGUAGAUAUUCGCAAGAACACCGGUGGCGAAGGCGGCCAACUGGUCCGGAACUGACGCUGAGGCGCGAAAGCGUGGGGAGCAAACAGGAUUAG